AUGUACGCUCGCGUCGCCGUCGAGGAGGACGACGCCGUGCUGCUGGGGGAGAUCGCCCGGUGCGGCGGGGACUUGGCCGCCGCGUGCUCUAGCGACGGCACCACCCCGCUGCACCGCGCCGUCCUGGACGGAAACGCCAGGAUGGUCAGGGUCCUGCUAGAGCACGGCGCUGAUCCUGACAGGGUGGACGCCCGCGGGUUGACGCCGACGGCCUUGGCCGACCGCCACGCCCACACCGACAUUCAGCAGCUGUUCGCGUCGCACCGCCACCAGGACCAGCAGGGAGCGCCGAAGCCCUCGUCGACGGAGGAGGGCGUCGCCGUGGCGCCAGCGGCUCCGCAGGUCACGAGGUUCAGGAGCGAGCCGUCGGCGAGAGUACUGCCACCCAGCGGUAGCGUCGGGUCGUCGCCGUCGCCGAACCGGGCGGGCCCCCAGUCAAACUCCUCGUCGGCGCGCAGCACGCCGCAGCGGAUGGCCAGCUUCCGGAACUCCCUCUUUGGCGUCAUCUCCUCGUCGUUCCACGGAAACCGACUCGACGGCGGCGGCGGUACGAGCUUCCUCCAUCGCCACGAGAGGAAUCCGAUCAGCUCGCACGUCCGGGUGACCAUCUCGUGCCCUGAACAGGGGCGGGGCGAGAGGAGGCUGCUCGUGUUCGUGCCGGAGACGAUGCUGCAGCUGCUCGAGCUCGGGGGGAACAGAUUCGGGUUCGCGGCGACGAGGGUAAUAACGAGCGACGGCGCCGAGAUCGACGACGUGAGACUCGUCAGGGACGGCGACCACCUCCUCCUAGUCUCAGAUCAGUGGGUUCCCGACACUACCAGCGGGCAUAGGAAACAAUAA
rnacentral:rRNA from 1 species